rnacentral:rRNA from 1 species
GACGUAGGGCGCGAGCGUUGUCCGGAUUUAUUGGGCGUAAAGAGCUCGUAGGCGGCUUGUCGCGUCAGCUGUGAAAACCCGCGGCUCAACUGUGGGCGGGCAGCUGAUACGGGCAGGCUGGAGUUCGGUAGGGGAGACUGGAAUUCCUGGUGUAGCGGUGAAAUGCGCAGAUAUCAGGAAGAACACCGAUGGCGAAGGCAGCUCUCUGGGACGGUACUGACGCUGAGACGCGAAAGCGUGGGGAGCGAACAGG